rnacentral:lncRNA from 1 species
ACCACUUGAAGUCUUGAACAGGAGAGCAGGUGCGGCCGCCCACUUGGCCUGCACUUUUCCACUCACUAAGCGUCCGUGUAUGUGCAUCGCCGUUCGCGUCGGGCAACCAGGACAUUCGUUUUGGUGGGCUGAAGUUAGGUAUUUGUGGCCCAAACAGGGCCUGGACAGUAAAUAUGUUCCUUAUUUUGUGUUGUUAUUAUCACAGGCCUCGCCACCUCUUAGAGCCAGCCAGCCGUGGAGGCAUAAAGUUGGUGAGGGUUUAUGGAUGACUUCGGUUGGUUGGUUAUCCGCAGCAUCUCAAGUCUUCUUUACAAUGUUGGCAGAAAAUGGCAGUUGGAUAUGUCACGGUAGCUCUAUUAUUGGCCGAAAUAGUGAAAGGAGGCUGCACUUCUAAGGUUCUAAUCAUAGCCGUGGCGCCGUGAAAAAAUUGGAGAAGGCUGUAGUUAAGUAAAGGUUAGCCUCUGACCGCAAUCAAUUUGAGCAGAUGAGAUCGGACCCAGGACAGGCGCGCAGCUUGGAACGAUGAGCUGGAUGUGCAUGAAGACCAGAAAGUGAGUGUACUUUUUACCUGAGCUGACACGAUGCGCAAUUUCCAUGGAGCUUCUGUGCCAUUGGUCUCUGUAGCUGUUGAAAAGGUCCGCCGCAACUAACAUUACGGUAGGUCAACGACUUGGCUAGUUACCAAGCUGUCGAAUUCAAUGCGCAUGUGGAAGAUUGAGAAAACUUGGCUAUACAUGCAAUGCAGGUGCCUGAUGCAGUGAUGCGGGGGAUUUCAUCGUGUCCUGUCCUCAGAUUUUUGACACGAACAAUAAUGUCUAUUAGAAGGAAACAAAAUAAUGGCCGGGUGGUGCAAUUUACGGUGACGUGGCGCGACGGACGUAAAUCUCUACAAGUAAGACUUCUACCUCUUUUUCUUUUAUCCGUCCUGAUAAGUGGGUCCCACUUGUCAGAGGGCUCCGUCUCUAUCCCUCCCGUCCGCCACCUGCACGCCUCCCUCCCGUCCUUUCUUUGGUCUCUCUCUCUCCCUUCCGACAUCCGCCCAUCCCUUCCUCCGUCUCUCGCCAGCGGCACGACGGCUCGUUCCCAGCCCCUCCCACCCUCCUCGUCCAC